GCGGCCCUGGUCGGCGCUCGCCCCUUGGGUGAGCGGGGAAGGCUGAGGCCGGACCCGCACCCAACGUUUGGGGGCCGGAGCAAUACGUGGACGCCACGUCGGCCUUGUCACUGACCCCACCGGAACCCAGCCUGAGAGAAGCGCGAGUUGUGGGUGCCACAACUCGGGGCUGCGGGGGUGACCGGGUAGAGAGGUGGAGCCAGCAGGGAAAAUGUCUUUGAGGAGGUGAUGGUGAAAUUGAAGUCAAGAAAAUGAGGAGAUAGCUUUGGGAAAAGCCAAGGAGAGACAUUCCAAGUCAAGAACAGUUUGUGCCGAGGCCCUGAGAAAGGGGCUUGCCUGAUGGCGCAGUGGUUAAGAAUCCGCCAGCCGGUGCAGGGGACAGGGUUUCAAUCCCUGGUCCGGGAAGAUCCCACAUGCCUCGGAGCAACUAAGCCCGUGUGCCACAACUCCUGAGCCUGCAUGCCACAACUACUGAAGCCCACGCGCCUAGAGCCCAUGCUCCACAACAAUAGAAGCCACUGCAAUGAGAAGCCCACGCACAGCAAUGAAGACCCAAUGCAGCCAAAAAUUAAUUAAUUUUAAAAAAAAGAAUUCUGUUUUAGUCAUGUUGAGUUGAGAUGCCCGUCAGAGAUCCAGUUCAAUUGUCCAGUCACUAGGUACUCAGAGGAGAGGCCUGGGCUGGGGGUGGGGCUUUGGGAGGCAUCAUUUUAAUGAUGGUAAACACCUUGGGAUCUGAGGGAGUCACCUAGGUUGAGGAGGUAGAUGCAGAAGAGGAGAGGGUUCAAGAGGGACCCAGAGGAGUCAGAGGAGCCAGAGCAGGAAAGAAGACUGAAAAAGAGGCUGGGGAGGCGAAAGGAGAACCGGGAGAGUGCUAUGUCCCGGAGACUGACAAAGCAGUGUUUCCAGAAAAGAGUGGUCAGCUGUGCUAGAUGCUACUUACAGCUCAGAUAAGAUGAAGAAAGGGAACGAUCCUUUGACUCUGGCCACAUAAAUGUCAUUGGUGCACAUGAUAAGGACAGUGUUCCAGGAGUAGUGGGGUGGCAGCCAGACCAUGGUAGAGCUAUAGUGUUUGGACAGUUUGUCCAACAGGGAACACAGAACAGGGAGAGGUCUAGAAAGGGAUGUGGAAUCAUAGGAGGCUUUGCCAGAGAAUGCUAGAUGACCCUAAUAGCCAUUCUCCCCCAUUUCCUUUAUUAUAGACUUUCCAGUUCUAGCUGGCCACAUGGCUUGCCUGAAUAAAAGCAAGCCUCUAGGACUCCCUCAUGGCUGCGUGUGGUCACAUGACUCAGUUCCAGCCAACAGGAAGAAAGUGGAGGUGUCCACAUGGAACUUUUGAGAAGUAGCUUUAAAGGGAAGUGGUGUGCUUAUCUCAGCCAUUGCUCUCUCCUGCUCACUGGAAUAUGUAAAUAGAGCUGCAGACAGCCUGUUGAACUUUGAAGCCAUAGCCAUGUGUUGAGGAUGUUAGUGCAACAAGUUAGAAUAAAUCCGGGUUCCUAAUGUUUAGGGAGCCACCGUACGUGCUCUGGACUAUUACCUCUUGAUUUUGUAUUUGAGAAAAAGAAAUUUCUGUCUUGUUUAAUCCUCUGUUUUCCAGUGCUCAUAGCCAUAUCUAAUUUUUACUUCUGUUAGGAUACAAAGGGUUUUGUUAAAAUAUGGAAGAUACUAGAGCAGGUUUGAAGAGUGAUAGGAAUGAUGCAGGAGUGAUGAUUCUGAAGAAAAGGUGGAAGAUGUUAUGUGAGCAUGAAUGGUGAGGACACCUCUGGUAGAGGGAUGACUCCACCAUUAUUAAAAAGGGGGGUGUGGAGACAGAGAAGAUGUUUCCAGUGAAAGUUGCAAUUGGAAAGAUGAUCAUCCACACCUGAUGAUUUCUGGUUAACCCUGGAUGUGAAGGAGGUCAUGAGCCUAGAACAAGGAGGAGAGAGUAAGGCCAGCUUUGUGAAUCAUGGACCCGAUGAUGUUGGAGGUCCUGCCAGGCUGAGCAGCCUCAGGGAGACAGCUGCUUUCUGGAACAGUUGGCCACACUGCUGCAGGGCAUGAAGAGGGUGAGGGGAGUGCCCACAAAACCAGCAAGGCCUCCACCCCUCCCCCCGCAGGCCUCACUGACAGUUACUUAUGACACUCGCCUGCCAUUUCCAGCUGCCCUUUGAGACCCGCCAACUUUACCUGACCCAUUUUUACAAUAAUACGGGGUGGCUUCAGAAAGCAUCAGGGACACUCAAAGCAGGGCAGACCCAUUUUCUCUUCCUUUCUUAAAAAGUAAAAAGAAUUGCAGUGGUGAUCAUUUUGAAAUGUAUAGAAAUAUCAGACCUCUAUGUUAUGCACCAGGAACUGCCAUAGUGUUGUAGGUCAGUUAUAUACUUCAAAAAGCAAACAAGCUCAUAGAAAAAGAGAUCAGAUGUGUGGUUACCAGAGGUGGGGAGGGGUGGGGAGAAGGGGAAUUGGAUGAAGGUGGUCAAAAGGUACAAAAUUACAGUUGUGAAAUAAAGAAGUACUAGGGAUGUCAUGUACAACAUGAUUAAUUAACACUGCUGUAUGUUACAUAUAAAAGUUCAGAAAGUAAAUCCUAAGAGUUCUCAUCAUAAGGAAAAUUUUUUUUUAAUUUUUCUUUUAUUUUGUAUCUGUAUGAGUUGAUGGACGGUCACUAAACUUAUUGUAAUCAUGAUGUAUGUAAGUCAUAUCAUUUUGCCAUAUACCUUGAACUUACACAGUGCUGUAUGUCAGUUACAUCUCAAUAAAACUGG
ensembl:lncRNA uncharacterized LOC116741599